GCCGAACGCUGGCGGCGUGCCUAAUACAUGCAAGUCGAACGCUGAAGGGCGGAGCUUGCUCUUCUUGGAUGAGUUGCGAACGGGUGAGUAACGCGUAGGUAACCUGCCUUGUAGCGGGGGAUAACUAUUGGAAACGAUAGCUACUACCGCAUAACAAUGGAUGACACAUGUCAUUUAUUUGAAAGGGGCAAUUGCUCCACUUCAAGAUGGACCUGCGUUGUAUUAGCUAGUAGGUGAGGUAACGGCUCACCUAGGCGACGAUACAGAGCCGACCUGAGAGGGUGAGCGGCCACACUGGGACUGAGACACGGCCCAGACUCCUACGGGAGGCAGCAGUAGAGAAUCUUCGGCAAUGGGGGCAACCCUGACCGAGCAACGCCGCGUGAGUGAAGAAGGUUUGCGGAUCGUAAAGCUCUGUUGUAAGUCAAGAACGAGUGUGAGAGUGGAAAGUUCACACUGUGACGGUAGCUUACCAGAAAGGGACGGCUAACUACGUG
rnacentral:rRNA from 1 species